AAAAAGGCGCGGUGAUUGAGUGCGAUUAAAUUGAAAACACAUUCAAUCGCUAAAAAAUCACUACGAAGAGGUAGAAGACGAUGUAAACAAACCCGAAAAACGUC